rnacentral:rRNA from 1 species
AUUGAACGCUGGCGGCAGGCCUAACACAUGCAAGUCGAACGAGUGGCGGACGGGUGAGUAAUGUCUGGGAAACUGCCCAAUGGAGGGGGAUAACUACUGGAAACGGUAGCUAAUACCGCAUACCAUCGGAUGUGCCCAAAUGGGAUUAGCUAGUAGGUGGGGUAAGGGCUCACCUAGGCAACGAUCCCUAGCUGGUCUGAGAGGAUGACCAGCCACACUGGAACUGAGACACGGUCCAGACUCCUACGGGAGGCAGCAGUGGGGAAUAUUGGACAAUGGGGGAAAGCCUGAUGCAGCCAUGCCGCGUGUGUGAAGAAGGCCUUCGGGUUGUAAAGCACUUUCAGCGGGGAGGCGUUACCCGCAGAAGAAGCACCGGCUAACUACGUGCCAGCAGCCGCGGUAAUUC